AGAUCACAGACAAUGUGGAUACAUCAAAUUCCUGAAAGAAGUAUGCAUUCACAAGAGCAAGUGAUCCUGUAACAAUACUGUGCAUGAAGAAACGUUCACUCACCUGUAUUUCAUGCCCAAAGAACUUUCAAGGCAGCUUAUUAAAAACAACCAACAUUAUGAGGCUGCAGUCUGCUGUAUAUUGAAGCUCUGGGUUGCUAGUUGGUCUAGACUCAAGGUUUUCUUGGCCAUAGCUAAUACACAGCCACUAUGGUC
rnacentral:lncRNA from 14 species